rnacentral:rRNA from 1 species
ACCUUGUUACGACUUGGCCAUGAUCAAACUAAGAGUUUGAUCAUGGCUCAGGAUGAACGCUGGCGGCGUGCUUAACACAUGCAAGUCGAACGCUGAAGCUGGGUGCUUGCACCUGGUGGAUGAGUGGCGGACGGGUGAGUAACACGUGAGUAACCUGCCCUUUACUUCGGGAUAAGCCUGGGAAACUGGGUCUAAUACCGGAUAUUUACUUCCUAUCGCAUGGUGGGUUGUGGAAAGAUUUUUUGGUUUUGGAUGGACUCGCGGCCUAUCAGCUUGUUGGUGAGGUAGUGGCUUACCAAGGCGAUGACGGGUAGCCGGCCUGAGAGGGUGACCGGCCACACUGGGACUGAGACACGGCCCAGACUCCUACGGGAGGCAGCAGUGGGGAAUAUUGCACAAUGGGCGAAAGCCUGAUGCAGCGACGCCGCGUGAGGGAUGACGGCCUUCGGGUUGUAAACCUCUUUCAGUAGGGAAGAAGCUUUUGUGACGGUACCUGCAGAAGAAGCGCCGGCUAACUAUGUGCCAGCAGCCGCGGUAAUACAUAGGGCGCAAGCGUUAUCCGGAAUUAUUGGGCGUAAAGAGCUCGUAGGCGGUUUGUCGCGUCUGUCGUGAAAGUCCGGGGCUUAACUCCGGAUCUGCGGUGGGUACGGGCAGGCUAGAGUGCAGUAGGGGAGACUGGAAUUCCUGGUGUAGCGGUGAAAUGCGCAGAUAUCAGGAGGAACACCGAUGGCGAAGGCAGGUCU